UAGUAUGUAAUACGCUGGGGGCCUGCCCCCGACUUCUGUGGGGCCUUACUGUACUAGGUACUAAAUUCUUCUAUUCAAGACGGCAUGAGGCAUUGAGGCCCCACCCGUUUAUUAAGGUGUGCUGUGCAGUGUAUAUAUAUGUACGUACACGAACCCUUGUGAGAUGGAGUAGUAAAUACUACUCGGGUCGGUCUACUACAGCAGUUAAUAGUAACUUCGACCCAAAAAGAUCUAGGAGGGGUUUUCUUUAAUUCAGAGUGAAUUAACCUUUUACAAGUGUCUCUUCUCUUGUUGACCUUAGCUGGAACCACUUGAGCGUUAAAUCCUCGCUUCUCUUGAAUUACGUUAACGCGAUGAUAUUCAAGAAUCCAUAUUGUUUUUUUUUUUUUAUACAACGUGAACCAAUUCCGACGAUCCACCUUCCAUAGAUCCAUUAAAGUGGUAGCCAACAGUAAUAAAUAUUUAUUCUUCAUUCUACAGGACAAUGUAACACUCUUUGACGUAAAAAUAAUGUAUUUAUCUUCAUAUGAUUUAUUUAUAAUGAAUCAAGACGCCGUACCGUACAGUAACUAUGAUCACUUAUUAUUUCUCAGAACCGUUGUGUCUUGUCACAGCAGAAUUACAUAACGAUAACUAAUCUUCCUACAUUUAUUCACUGUCCAACAAAGACUUUGCUCCUCAUUGAAAUAACGUUCCGUAAGGUAGAUUCAGGACGCACGAAUCUACCUUACCGACGGGAUCUCAUGACGCGUCCGAUUUCUCUAGUGGUAAUGUCAAUUCCAUUCGUACCUCCAUUAUUAUUUCAUACUAGUAACAGUCCGUGCCAAACACUUCAAUUAUCAGUAUUCAGUACUUACGCAAUAAACAGGACGUUGACCUCAACAGUUAAUAACAUUCGCCAUAACAGUGACACCAUAAACAAUGUCACUCGUAGAAAACUGAACGUGGCAAUCUUCAAAAAUUCACAUUGAAUACCCGAAAAAGAAAAACGUGAAUAUCCCGCACGAUAAGAAUGACUGUACUAAAAGUAUUUUUCAAUCGGUAAAUCAUCCUCACGGACUUUUACGCCGCCCACAUGAAAAUAUUCAUUUAUACUGAUACAUGCAGUGCAUAGCCAAGAUGCAUUCAGUACAUCCAAUGUAUUCAGUGUAAUCCCGAUGUCUGGCAGAAACGCGUCUUCCCAAGUCCCAUGCAUUUUCCAAGUUCUGAAAAUCAAAGUGACAGCACGUGGUACAGCAUGAGUACCGUUAAAUCCGUCUGGUUUGCCUUCGGCUAUGGCAGCACUUCGUAAAAUCGAACAGAGUCGUCUGCUCUUUCCCAAUGAGAAAAUCCAUCGUGUUUCUCUUACUCCUGUUAUACCAAUGCUUGCCAGUUACAUAUUAUAUUAUACGCAAAAGGCUUCCCCGGAGAACAGGAAUGUCAAAGCAACGGGUUAUCAACGGUUCAGUGAAUUCCUGAACAUGGGUCAAAGGUUCCGUUGAUCGAUCGAUUAUAAUAGCUUGAGAAAUUGAAGAUGGUCAAAGCUAAUUUUUGAGUACCCUCAAUGUCUGGAUUGCCAAAGGAGCACCAAGCGGAAGGAAUUCAAUUUGCCUUUAGGGCGACAAAGACGAGGCUGAGACUGGCUGGAAUUCACCGUGAAAAUCUUUAAAUCCAUUUGGAACCCCGAAAUUCGCUUAGGUCCCGAUCUACCCACCACCCACCUCACUUCGCUACCUACCUAUCUACCUUACCGACGAACACCUGGGCCUAUCAUGUUCAUCGAAUCGAGGACCGACUAGCUGGGUACGUGUAUUUUAUCGCCGUGUAUUCUCUGUUACCGGAAGUGAGCACUCUACCCUGCAGACUCUGGUCGAUAUUACAGAAAUGACG